CUUUGGUUUCUUUGCUUUGAACCAAGGAUUUGUUUACCCCUAUUAAGGAUGAAAAGGACUCGUUGAUAAUAAGAACAAACUCAGGAAAAUUCAAAAGGAUUUGACAAGGUGCCUAAAAGUCCGAGAAUUGCUGUCUGCGGAAAUUUUGAUGAGGAUGCCGCUAGGAGAGAGCGUUAGUUGC